CUUGCAUACUUUAAAUGAUUUUCAGAAAUUGUUAGGUGAUAUCAAUUGGAUUCAGCCCUAUUUGUAGAUCCCAAAUGUUAAAUUAAAACCUCUGUUUCAAAUUUUAGAAGGAGACUCAGAGUUAAGUUCCAAAAGGGAAUUAACACCUGAGGCUAGAAAGGCCCUUACCUUAGUGGAAGAAGAAUUGAUUAAAGCCAAGCUUCAGCUUUGUAGAGAAGGGUUACCCAUCAUUUUGAUAAUAUUACCUACUGAGAUGCAACCCAAAGGAUUAUUGUGGCAAGAAGGCCCAUUGUUAUGGAUCCAUUCCAAAAUAUCUGCUGGGAGGAUAUUAGAUCAUUACCCUACAACAGUAGCUUCUUUCACCUUGUUGGGAAUUCAGCAUUGUUUACAAAUUUUUGGUAUAAAACCCAGCUCUACUGUAAUCCCUUGUGAUGGGUAUCAGCAAAAGGUCCUAACAGCAAAUAUUGAUGAGUGGGCUAUUUUAGCCUGCAUUAAUGAGGGCCCAUUCGAUAAUCAUUAUCCCAAACAUCCGUUAAUGAACUUUUUAAAGGAACAUUCAGUCAUUUUUCCUCAAGUGGUGAGGAAAACACCCAUUAAGGAUGCAUUAACAUGUUUACUGUUGGAUCAAAAACCGGAUGUAGAGUAGAGGGGAAAGAUCCUGUGGUCAGGCAGUAUUAUCCCUGUUCUCCGCAGAUGGUGGAAUUACAAAUAGUUAUUGAGGUCAUUAAGGAUUGUGAUUUUCCUUUUAAUCUAAUUUCAGAUUCACAAUAUGUAGUUAAUUUAGUUUUAUCCCUAGAAGUGGCUUGCCAAAUAAAAGCUCAUAGUACCAUCCAAGCAUUGGCCUUACAAUUACAGAAGUUGCUGUGGGAAAGACGCCAACCAUUAUAUAUUGGACAUGUCCGUGUCCAUAGUGGGCUUCAGGACCCUUAAGUCAGGGAAAUGAUAUUGUAGAUAAUUGUACUCAUAUGGAGUUCAUAUUUUUAGCAUCCCCUAUGAAGUUAGCCUCACAAUUUCAUUCUAAAUUUCAUGUUAAUGCUAAAACUCUGCAGAGAAAAAUUGGAAUCUCUAGAGCUCAAGCUCAGGAUGUAGUCACUACCCGUGGACGUUACCUUGAGUUUCAACACCCACCUUCUUAUGGAGUGAAUCCUAGAGGAUUGCUCCCUCUACAGGUGUGGCAGAUGGAUGUGACACAUUUUUCAGAAUUUGGCAAAUUGAAAUAUGUUCAUGUAUCCAUUGACACAUGUUCAGGAAUAGUUUAUGCAUAUCCCAUGGCAGGGGAAAAUGCCUCCCAUGUUAUACAGCAUUGUUUGGAGGCCUGGGCAGCUUGGGGUAAGCCCCAACAACUUAAAACAUACAAUGGCCCUACAUAUACUGCCAAAACCCUGAUGUCUUUUUAUCAACUGAUGGAAGUACAAGUUAAACACGGCCUGCCAUAUAAUCCUCAAGGCCAAGGAAUCAUUGAACGAGCACAUAGAACCUUAAAAGAAUUAUUAAUAAAACAAAAAGGGGGAAUAGGCUAUGGCCAUACCCCAAAGAUAAGACUCUCCUUAGCUCUCUUUACCUUAAAUUUUUUCAAUUGGAUAAGGAAGGUCGCUCUGCUGCUGAACGACAUGCUAAUACCAGCCCCAGUAAACUUGGGUAUGCUAAAUGGAAGGAUGUGCUUACAGGAUCAUGGAAUGGUCCGGAUCCUGUGUUGGCCUGGGCGAGAGGGUCUGUUUGCAUGUUUCCACAGAAUAGUGCAGAGCCAGUGUGGGUUCCCAAGCGGCUAGUGCGACGCUGUCAAAAUG
rnacentral:lncRNA from 1 species